rnacentral:lncRNA from 1 species
UGUCUUUCCAGGACAGCUUUUCCCAGCACCAGAAGUCGGGCCAGUUAAAAUCAUGCGUUGCUUUCCCGCGGGGCUGGGAGCUGGGGCGGCGGGCCGAGCUGCUGGCCUAACCCCGGAGGGUCCCGGGCUGGCCACUUUCGGGUGCUCUGGGUUUCUCUGCUCUUACUCUCGAAUUACACCAAGUUACUACACGAUAUGUUUUUAACAUUUAUUUCAAGAAACGAGACCCCAGCAGUCUGUAAACCCGGGCCAAGCCGGCGUGGUACAACCACAAAGUGCUACUCUCCAGCGCCAGAGGAGGCCCGAGGCCCUGAGGUUCCCAGCCCCGAGGUUCGAGGUUCGAGGUUCACCUCAGAACCCCAAGCUUCCCUCGAAGGAUGGGAGCCUAAAUCAAAAAGCAAAUUUAAAUCUUGCAAUCACUGCUGGGAAGUGAGCUGUAUCAUCCUGAGAAAUCAGACCAUAGAGACAGGCCUGCAGCUGGCAGCCUGGGUCAUCUUUAAUCGCUUAACCCUUCAUAUCAAAGAACGGCUUGUAGCAGCGGAUUCCUUCUCCAGAAUUUCCCAUGGCAGAUUUUCUCAAGGAAAAGCUCUGAAUCAAUUACGGUACCAUUCCUAGAGAUGGACCUGGAGUUUAUCAAGCCUGGCCAGGUGGCAUGGAGCGGGAAGGACAAUCUGGGGUGUGGAGAGGCUCGAGCAAAGCAGUGUGUGGGAAGAUGCUGAGUGCAGAUGAGCAGAUGGAGGCUUUAAGAGGGAGGAGACUUGCCCAAGAUGUGCUACUCAUGAGUAAGUGUAUUUGACCAAUCUAGCUUCAGAGCUUAGGCCAUGUGGCUUUGAUACACAUGGAUAGAUGGGAGGAAAGGGGCUGUGAGGAGCUGUGCCCAUGGCAGGAAGCACCUGUGCAGGUUGGUGGAAACUUUUCUUCUGAUGUCUGAUGACUUUCACAUAUUUCUUGUCUUUGGGGGUCUUCCUGUUGUUCCCCUUCUUUCUCCACUCAGGAAAUGGGAACAUUAUUUACAUAGCCAUUUCUAAGCAGAUGAGCAUUAGUGUGAGAACCUCUUUGGAAUUCCUAGGUGAAGAGUUGUGUACAAAGACAGAGCAUUUUUGUACCAGCAAGUGGUGAAAAAUAAGGAGCAUCUCGAAGAAU